rnacentral:misc_RNA from 1 species
GAGAAGAACGUAGCGAAAUGCGAUAAGUAAUGUGAAUUGCAGAAUUCAGUGAAUCAUCGAAUCUUUGAACGCACAUUGCGCCCCCUGGUAUUCCGGGGGGCAUGCCUGUCCGAGCGUCAUUACAACCCUCAAGCUCAGCUUGGUGUUGGGCCCCGCCGCCCCGGCGGGCCCUAAAGUCAGUGGCGGUGCCGUCCGGCUCCGAGCGUAGUAAUUCUUCUCGCUCUGGAGGUCCGGUCGUGUGCUCGCCAGCAACCCCCAAUUUUUUUCAGGUUGACCUCGGAUCAGGUAGGGAUACCCGCUGAACUUAAGCAUAUCAAUAAGCGGAGGA